rnacentral:rRNA from 1 species
CGGCUCUCGCAUCGAUGAAGAACGUAGCGAAAUGCGAUACUUGGUGUGAAUUGCAGAAUCCCGUGAACCAUCGAGUCUUUGAACGCAAGUUGCGCCCCAAGCCUUCUGGCCGAGGGCACGUCUGCCUGGGUGUCACAAAUCGUCGUCCCCCUCUUCAUC